CAUCACAGCCCAUCCACCUUCAGGGUUACCUAAGUACCUUAAGAAAAUUGUCAGAGCUGCUGAGUGGAACAGUGUGAAGGUGAAAAAAUUUGUGAUCACCAGUGGGUUUUCCUCAUCUUGCCAAAGUUGCUAUUUGAGAAGAUGGAAAUGUGAUUAAAGAUACCAACAAGCCUAAACUACAUUUCUUCAGAAGUGAUAGGUGCAUGGCUGCUGUAUAUAAUAGACUCCAUAAAAGCAUC